UACUAGAGGAAGUGAGCACAGAGCCAACUGGGCUGGACCUCACUAAGUUUCAGUUUCCUUUUCGCUGCUUCUCCAAAGCCUCAAGGUUGCUGAGAAGGUUUUUGGUCUCACUUUGUGCCUGCCUAGCUGUCAGACAAAGCAGCUACCCUCAGCUUCAGCCCUUGAAGAGAUCCUCCAAACAGAUUGAGAAGCAUGGCAGUGGCAACUCAUUUGACAUGGAUGCAAGAAAAAAAGCUGCAAAAUUACUUUGGAGAAAAGCAGUUUAGCCUUCUCUAUAAGGCCAGUGUCCAUGGAUUCUCUACUAAUAGUUUGCUUCAGAUAUGCUCUAGACAAGGACCUACUCUAACAGUGAUUUACAGUAAAGAUCGGAUUGUUGCGGCAUAUAUGCACAAGAACUAUGGGGAAGGAAACUAUUUAAUCACUGUUUUUGUCUUUCAAGAGACUACAACUACAGAAUGCAAAGUAGGACCAUUUAAACUACUUAUGUCAUUUGAUAAAGAUCCUGGUGGAAAUCUUGAAGUCAGUAUGCAUCUAAAGGAAAAAACCAUGUAUUUUAGUGUAAAGGCAAAGAAAACACUUGGACUACUUCAAAAUUAUAUUUCCUUCCAGGACUGUGAAGUUUUUCGAUGUGAAGAUUUAUUGGACGAAAGGAGGAUGAAUGGAAUUACUGUGCUCAAGGAGAGCUUAUUGUGUGCUAUCAGAAGUUAUAUACCAUAUGGAGGCCUGGUUCACAAAAUUCGCAUUCUGCUUCUGGGUCCAGUUGGAGCUGGGAAGUCUAGCUUUUUCAACUCAGUGAGGUCUAUUUUCCGAGGCCAUGUAACGAACCAGGCUUUGGUGGGUUCUAAUCCAACUGGGACAUCUGAAAAGUACAGAGCAUAUUUCAUUAAGGAUGGGAAGGAUAACAACACUCUGCCAUUUAUUCUGUGUGACUCAAUGGGGCUGAGUGAGAAAGAAGGCCUGGACAUGGAUGACAUACCCUAUAUCUUAGAAGGCCAUUUUCCUGACAGAUACCAGUUUAAUUCCUUGAAACUAAGGCCAAAAGGCAUUGGUAACCAUACAGGCUGCCCAUUGCUGAAGGACAGAAUCCAUUGUGUGGCAUUUGUGUUCAAUGCCAACUCUGUUGGAGAGCUCUCCCAUGAGAUGGUGGAAAAGAUCAAAAAAAUUCAAAGGGAGUUGAUUAAGUCUGAUGUGGUCCAUGUGGUGUUGCUCACUCAUGUGGAUACCUUGGAUCUGAUUACAAAAGGUGACCUCAUAGACAUAUACAAAUGUGUGCCUGUGAAACUUAAGCUAGAGGCAGUUCACAGAAAACUUGGAUUCGCUCUUUCUGACAUCUUUGUGGUUAGUAAUUAUACCUCAGAGUGGGAACUGGAGCCUGUCAUAGAUGUCCUGAUCCUCUCUGCACUGAAAGAGAUGCUGUGGGCUGCAGAUGACUUCUUAGAGAAUUUGCCUCUUGAGAAAACAGAGAUCAGAAGAAAGAAAUGAUCAAAUGUGAAUAAAGAAAAUAAGUGAGCACGUUGCAUAUUAAAGCUUUUAAUUUCAUCAUAGAAAAGUGAAAAGUGUGAAAUGAGAAAACACGGGAAAAAAGGAAGCAGUUGAACCUGAGGGGGAUAUUUUAUCUAAAUCUAGAAUGAAAUUACAUACAAAAUCAUAAUACCUAUAAAGAAGAACAGCACAAUUUAAGUCAUUAAUUAUAUAAAAGACUAACAAUUUCUUUAAAAAUUAUGUACUGUAUCUGUGAAAAAUUAAAGUUUCUUCUUGUAAAACUGAAGUCUAACUUGAGUGUGUGCAUACGUGUGUGUGUGGUAUGUGUGUGUGAUUUUGGAAAAGAUUAUUCUAAUACAACUUGUCAACAUCUUCUGAACUUCACCUAUAUUGUCUUAAUUUUUGCCUUCUUAUGUUAUUUCUAAAGUGCUUGAUUCUCUUUGGGUCCCUAUUAAUGUUGUAUUCUUUAACCUAAAGCCAUUUUUGUUUGAAUAUCUGAACACUUCUUCAAGGAUGUAGCAAAUUAAUAUUACAUAGAGAUUUCAUUUCAUGUAGCAAUGAAAAUUAAAGAGCUAUAACUAUAUACAAUAGUAUCAAUAAAUAUUAAAAAUAUACUAUUGACCAAAAGGAGAAAGAUAUGAAUGAAUCUAUACAUGAUGAAUAGAUUUAUAUAAAUCUCAUAGAAGUUCUAAGUAAAACAAAAGGAAUGAUAAUCUUAAAAAUGAUGAUGGUCAUAAAAAUGAAGAUGGUGAUGAUAUUUUAAGGUGGAGAGGGGCUCUAUGUAAUGUACUGCAAUUUAUUGUCUGUUCUAUUAAUACUAUUCAUAGGCCUGGGGAUUAUCUCCAAUUUGGGACUGUUAUGAAUAAUGCUACUACAAAGAUUCUUACACACAUCUUUUGAGGCACAUAUAAAAAUCGUCCCUAAGAUGUAUAACUGAGAAAUUGCUAGCUCACUGUGUCUGUCUACAUAUCCUCAACCUUAUUGGAAACAAUCCAUAGCCUCUUGACAGGUGAAUAAGUAAAAAGAUGUGGUAUAUCCACACAAUGGAAUACUACUCAGCAAUAAAAAGAAGGAAAUAUUUUUACAGGCAAGUGUAGGAGACAGGAAGAAUAAAAGAAAAGCAGGCCCUGGCAAGGGCCACAAAAUAAAUUUGUAAUUAUUGAUAAACUGGAUGCUAUAAGGCAUGAGACUCUUGGAACAAGUCCAGAGGGAACAGUUCAUAAUCUUGAAAACAAGAUAUGAUCCUGCAACCCCAGACUGUUUCUCAACUGGCUUCUCAGAAUCACAUGUUCUACAUAUCUGGUGAAAAAUCUAUAGAUAAGAAAAUCAGUCUUAGUUACUGAUUUGUUAUUGGUUACUGUUUCUUAAUUACUCAAUGGUUAAUGAUCAUUUUCUUCUUUGUCCCUGAAGGCCACAUGAGUUAUAGUUUAACUCCCCGCAUAUUCUUUCAUUCACGGCUGAAGGCAUAAUAAAGCUGGCUUGGAUUCGGUUUCGGCACCACCUUGGAGCGGUGUUGGUCCCCUGAUCCUCGCUUUUCUCUGAAUUUUUGUGUCUUGUUUCUCAUUCUCUCGCGCUUUUGGAAACCCUGCUUGUUGAACUGGUCUGGACAGGCAAAAACAUACACAAACAGGUAGACUAUUUUAUUUCUUUACCUCCCAAGGUGAAGGGGGUUUGUGAAGAGUGAGUAGCCACCUGGUGCUUCUGCAGGAGCUUUUAAAGAAGAUACACCUUUAGCUUUAGAAGCAUACUGCUUUAGGAGCAUACGUCUCGGAUUCAAAAUCUGAAACAGUCAACAGAAACAAACUAAAUGAUUGGGUCAUUUCUGCCCCCUAGUGGUCAAUGCUCUAAAUGGAGAAGACGGUGAAGGUUGAAUUUGGAAGCUCAAAUAAAAACUAAGGCAUCUAAUUUUGUUUUUUUUAAAGGAAAACCAUCAGAGCAGAAAAAAAAUUUAACAUAUAAUUUUGUUAAAGGUGUUCAUUAUUGAAUGGAAGAUGAUUUUCUCCUGGUGUUGAAUAUAUGACAGCUUUUGGAAAUGCUGUGUUCUGUGCUAGAAUUUUUUUAUUCCUGGCAUUAUAUCAGACAUUGUUUAUGCAUAUUUGCAAACUAAGGUAUUAUUAACAUAUCCUAUUUUAGCAUAUUUAAAUAGAAAUUUGAAUGUAUAAUGCUCAAGGCCUAUGGUGAUCAAUAAACACAUACAAUGGGAACUU